UGUAGUUGGAAAACUGGGCACCCCACAGUGGUGGGCGUCAGGUCAGCCCCGAAGGGUGAGUUCUCGUCGUUUCUUCCAGGUGUAGCCUUCGUUCCUGCCGCUAAGGCCACUUAGCAUGUGGGCCACUGGACAGACACUGGAGGCGCUGGAGCUGGAGGCCAGCAGACGGCCAUGGGGGAGUCGUCUUGUCCACCUGACUGCUGAGAAGGACCUCCUUCCACUGAGACCUUCGGGCGAGCUCUCCCAUUGGGCAUGACAGCACUGCCGUGUCGCAUAGUCCAGAACGCGCCAGUCAUGGAGAAUACGAUGCUGGAGGUGGAUGAUGUGGCUCUGGACGCAGGUACGUUCACCCUCUGGACCAUUUUGAGAAAACUGUCCACACGUCUCUUCCCCAAAACUCCUCGUCACCAGCCUUCCAGCCUUGUCCUCCCCAGUCCCUGAGUGUUUGGCCAAGCCGUGAGCCCAGCCAGGAGUCCCUGCGGACCCUCACCCAGGGCCUCCUCAGCUCCCAGGAAGCAUCGCUUGAAGUUCUGUCCCACUAGAGCGUUUCCCGUCUUCACGUGCAGUACGAAGAAUAAUGUUCCCCCACAGAUGCCCACACCCUCGUCCCCAGCCCCGUGAAUCUGUCACAUGGCAGCAGGGACUGUGCAGACGUGAUUAAGGUCAUGGACCUUGAGAUGGGGGCGUUAGCCUGGAUUACGUGUCCUGAUGUCACCACAAGGACCCUUAGAAGUGAAAGAAGAGGGCAGAGGAGUUAGAGACACGACGAGAAGGAGCUGAAUUCCACCAACACCCUGAACGAGCAAAGAAGUGGCAUCUCCUCCAGAGCAUGAAGCAAGGGCUGUGGUCCAGCCAAUGCCUGGAGUUGGCCUGUGGGACUCUGAGCAGAGAAACCAGCCUGACCAGCUGGACUUCCAACCCUGGGACUGUAGGAUAUUAUAUUCGUGUUGUCUGCAGCUGCUAAAUUCGUGGCAGCAAUAGGUAACUGAUACAACCGUCCUUCGCGGCCGUGCUGAAGGGCCCCGGUGAUAUGCUCAAGUGUUUUGUGGGCUCUUAGACCUCUGCGGGGCCUUAGAAGCUAUCUUUUUCCUGCCUGAGGAGGAUAAUCCUCCCCUGGCAAUGUAGCGUACUGGUUAGCAUAAGCCUUGGAGCCAGAUGAACUUGAGUGCAAAUCCUGACGCCUCACUCACUACCUAUGUGGCCUCGACGAGUUUCCAGAUUGCCCUGUGCCUCAGGGUUCGCACCUGUAAAAUGGGAGCAAUCGUAGCAGCUGAGCAUUCAGUAAGGGGAAGCAUGCACAGUGCUCAGCACAGGGCCUGGUCCUGGGCAGGUCAGGGGACAGCAGUGGUUACGAUUAUUACAGCAUUUCUGAGUGGUGGUUGUCUGGUCUGGUGAAUCACCUCCAGGCCCGAGACACUUGCUCUCUUAUGAGAUGAGCAAGGUAAACACCUUCUGUCUACACGUGGCCUAUGAGGGUUCUGGGGUGGGUGUGAGAAGGACAAGGGGUCAGGCCUGGCUUUGGUACAGACUGGCUAAGAUACUGGGUAGGCCAUGGUCCUUCCUUCUUUCUGGGCCUCAAUUUCUCCUCUGUGAAAUGAGAGAGUUGGCUCUAACUUCCCUUUCUGGUUUUGAGAUUUUGUGAUUCUGUGAAUUCAGGUCAGAGCUACACUGUUGAUCUCACAUGUAAUUAUUUUUUCUCAGGAUUACACAUUCUUGAAUAAAAAUGAAAUAAGACCUUCAGAAAAACUGAUGAAAUACUUUUUUACCUAACAUUAAUAUGCCACACUGAAGGCAGGAAAAUGAAUCAGUAAGAUUAAAGGCGUGGGGAGCCCAGGAGUAUAAGCACCGGGCCGGAGCGAGACGGCAGAGCGAGGCGGGGGCUGGCUGUUUCCAUGUAUAUUUAUUUGCUCUGACAUUAGUGCAUUAAGCUGGUGCAUAUGUAAUUUCAUAUAAAAACUAACACCAGUGGAAUAUUCCUCUGCUCACACAUGCCGCUCUCAUCGGCGGAGCCAUCGCGUGGACACGGGAGGUGCCCUGCUCCCCCAAAUCCAUCCCGGGGUGGAGGUGCAGAACAGUUUUAGGUUCACAGCAAAAUUGAGCAGAAGGCACAGAGCUCUCCCAUGGACCUCCCGCCCCAACACACGCGCAGCCUCCCCGACUGUGGACAUCUUCCACGAGAGCCAGGCAUUUGCCACAAUUGAUGAGCCUACACUGACACGUCAUCGUCACCCAGAGCCCGCGGUUUCCACUGGGGCUCCCUCCUGGUGUUGUGCAGUCCGUGGGGUGGGACAGUGUAUAAUGUCCCGUAUCCAUCGCUUUACGUCAUACAGAGCAGUUUCACUGCCCUAGCCCCUGUUAUUAACGCGUCCUGUCAGAGUGAUACACUGUU